GACUAGAAUCAAAAGAAUGUCGAACCUAGUUUAGUAAUUCCAAGUCUUCCACCUAAAAAUAAAAACAAAUUAUAUAAGAACCCCUAAUUAAGAAAAAAUAAGCAAUAUUGUCACUAAUGACUACUGAUAUGCAGUUAAAAUAGAAAAAGUUAAAAAUAGGAUCACAGCCUGCCAUAUCGAACUUGAGAAAUAUUGAUUUACAAAAUAAUCACUCAUAAGCAAUAAAAUACUCUUCUACAAGUGUUAAACAAUAGCAUAGCAGUAAGCAUCAAGCUAAAAUAUUGGCUAUAGUUCUUUUGCUCAAUAUNNNNNNNNNNNNNNNNCACAACCACAUGAUUUUUUAAAAUGUUACAAGACAUUAUCUAGUCUCCAUAUUUUGUUAGCUCUGGUUCAAACAUACAAAAGAAUAGUAGGCAGUAGCAAGAAUAUUGGUAACAUCACUAACUGCAAACUAAUUACUAACUACUUACAAUUCUAACACACACACAAUAGCAAAAUAAUGCAUCACUGUAAGUCUUGAACAAAAUAAUACAGCAAGUCUUGAACAAAAUAAAAAUAAAAAAACCUUGUGAAGAAAGAAGGAUGAGAGUUCAUAUAUAACAAGCUACACUGCUGAUAAUAACCCAUAUUCAUAUCCCCUUCUCAAUGAGUUUGGACAAUAGCAUAUUAGUAACACUGUAAUCUUACCUGGACAAAAAGAAUAAAAAAUGAGGGGUGCUAGUGUCACACCCUCUAACACACUCUUUUAAAGAUGAAGACGAAGCUCACAAUAAAGAUGAAAGACGACAACAUCCACCGGAACACAUUAUAGGUCCAACGAUUACCAGAACACGUGAUAUAGACGGCGACUAAAUAAGACUGCAAUUAAGACGAUGGACGGCGUCAAGUGGCGUGACCUUAGCAUUACUCAUAAAAAUUGAAGCUUAGAUCAUUUCAACAUUGGCCAUAAUAGUGUCACUAAGAAAUACCAAACCAAAUACAAAAACUUUAACAAAAUUUAGGCACAAACUUAUUGGUACCACAAACUCAAGGUGAGCCUGGAUAUCACAAAAGGAAGGCAAUAAUGUUACAGCUGAU
rnacentral:lncRNA from 1 species